UCUUGAAUAGGUCACUACUAACAGCAUCUUGGCUUGAUUCUCCCUGGACCUUCUAUGGAACCAUGGAAGUGUGUUCCAGAACUGCCUAAGGACAAAAGAGGUCAGAACUUAAUAACAGCAAUUCUCUUUCUACUCUAUAAAUAGUUGCCCACUGGGACAUUAACUCUCCCACACUCCCAGGUUGCAUAUAUGUGGCCAUAUUGGUUCCCACAAGUGUCCUGUGUCAGAGAAGCUCGGGACAGAAAGCAAAAAGAUCACUGGUACAGCUAAUGGGAGGUGCUGUCUGGUCACAUCUGUACAAAGCUGCUUGCCUCAGCAAUGAUUAAAUCAAAAGAUGAACUGAAAGAAUAGAAAAAAACCUGCAUGGCACGGUUAAUGGCAGCUACCUGCAAACCAAGGAGAGCAGUCUCAGAAGAAUUCAAACUUGUUGACAUCCUGAUCCUGGACAAUUAGCCUCCGGAAUGCAUCUCUCAAUUUAUUUCCUUUUCCAUGUUGCUAUCACUGGAGUUCAGGUCAUGAUACUAAUGGAAAACUUCAGCCUCUCUAGCUGAAUUGAAGCCCUCUGUAUUCUACCCCCAAGAAAAAGCAGCGCUGAUGGAGGUCAUGGUGAAGAAUAUUAUUAGGUCAUGGCGCUGAGAGGCUUCCAAAUUUUCUCACGUUCAUUGCUUCACCUGUGCUGGGAAGAAAAGCUGUAACUUUUGCUAUGUUCCUAAGAGGAGGUAUGCAUGCUCUCACUAAUGUGACAGGUGACCAACAGGCCACACUUUCUCUUUUUCCAGUAUGCUCCUGAGUUCAUCUUUCUUUUAAAGCAGUGCUGACCAAGUUGAGGUAUUACACAUAAUCAAUUGGCAUGUGGUUUGCACAUUUUUUUUUUGCACUGGAAGAAUGUGGACAUGAAUUCCUGACUAUCUCAGUGUGUAAAAUCCUCAACAUAUAAACCUACGUAAAGUGCAAUCAUCAAAUCACAGGUGUACUGCAUUGCUGCAGGAGCUGUAUAUAUGGACGUGAAGCACAUAUUAGUGCCAGGGGCAGUCAAGUACAAAGAGCACUAUAACACAGAGAGUACUCAGUGCUAUAAUAGAACAAAGAGCAAAGUCAUCCAGGAACAACACAUGAUGAAGAAACCAAGAGCAGAAUGGUUAAGUACCUUACAACCCCCCAUUUAGUAAGUGAAGGGGACAUAUUUGAAUGAACACAGGUAGCAUGUUCCAGAAACCUAUGGGGCAGCUUGAGAGGCAUCACUUCGAUUUCCCUCCAAGAAAGUUGGCUGUUUGGCCGCAAGAAACACAGUUGGCUGACAGUGCCUCAUUACAAUAUCUAAAUUUUUGAACCAAUGUUACACUCUUCCCAGGCUUUCCCCAGCCAAUGAGGAGCAUGACAGAGAUGCUGGAGUCUGGCAUUUCUACCUAUUGUGAGUCUGCUCUAUGGGUAAUUUUGCUCCAAAGCUCCUUUGGCCGGAUGAGAAUGUGACAGAAUUCUAUAUCAGUUUAAGACUUUCUUCUCUUUUCACAGAAGACAGAUCUGGAUUGCAUUCUGAAGCCUCUUCCUGCACACCCCCUCCCUCCCUAAUUAAACUUCUGCAUUCCUAAAUCCAGUUCAUGGUCUGUUUCCCAGAGACACAACUCAGACACAGUCAUUCUCAAUUACUCUGUGAUGAUGACUCCAAGAAAACACAGAAAAAAUGAAUUUGUGACUUAAUGAAAUUAACAAUGUGUUUUAUAUACUAUAUGCCAAACACUAUGCUAAAUGUUUUCUAUUUACAUUGUAUGUUCCUUAAGUGCUUAACAAACCUUAAAUGGUAUAUGUAUUUUUUUUCAGAAUUACAGAUGAAGAAAACUUCUAAAAGCUAAGAAAGUCACUCAAACCAAUAAACAAAACAGAAUUAAGAUUCACAUCCAUGUGUUCUUGAGUCCAUUAUGACACCAAUUUUAAAAUAAAAAAAAAAAUCUAUACUCUU